rnacentral:rRNA from 1 species
CAGUAGCCGCGGGAAUACGGAGGGGGCUAGCGUUGUUCGGAAUUACUGGGCGUAAAGCGCACGUAGGCGGCUUGGUAAGUUAGAGGUGAAAGCCUGGAGCUCAACUCCAGAAUUGCCUUUAAGACUGCCGAGCUAGCAGGUGAGAGAGGUAAGUGGAAUUCCGAGUGUAGAGGUGAAAUUCGUAGAUAUUCGGAAGAACACCAGUGGCGAAGGCGGCUUACUGGCUCAUACUGGACGCUGAGGUGCGAAAGCGUGGGGAGCAAACAGGAUUAGAUACCCCGGUAGUCCCUGUCUCUUAUAA